rnacentral:rRNA from 1 species
UACAGAGGGUGCAAGCGUUGUUCGGAAUUAUUGGGCGUAAAGCGCGUGUAGGCGGCCAAGCAAGUCAGGUGUGAAAGCCCUCAGCUUAACUGAGGAAGUGCGCCUGAAACUACGUGGCUUGAGUACCGGAGAGGGUGGCGGAAUUCCCGGUGUAGAGGUGAAAUUCGUAGAUAUCAGGAGGAACACCGGUGGCGAAGGCGGGUCUCUGGGCCGAUACUGACGCUGAGGAGCGAAAGCGUGGGGAGCGAACAGG